rnacentral:rRNA from 1 species
CCACACCCAAAUCUUUUUUCGUGAACUGUUGUCGUUUGGAUUUUCUUGAAAAAUCUGUAUUUCUAUUAUAAAUUUUGUAUUGGAUGAACUCCGGUUUCUAUCGAACGUUUUUGGCAUCAAGUCAAAAGCGCCAAUGAAAGUAUACAACUUUCAGCAGUGGAUGUCUAGGCUCGCACCUCGAUGAAGAACGCUGCGAACUGCGAUACGUAAUGCGAAUUGCAGAAUUCAGUGAGUCAUCGAAUCUUUGAACGCACAUUGCACUUUCGGGUUAUGCCUGGAAGUAUGUCUGUGUCAGUGUCCGUACAUCAAACUUGUUUCUUUUCUUUUCUUUUCUUUGGAAGAAAGAAAGGAAGCAGACAUGAAGUGUCUUUUUACUUUUGUAAGAAGUCCUUUGAAAUGUACGAGCUUUUUAUGUAAACGAUGGAAUGCGGCUGCAAUGUGUAGCUUUGUUGUAUUUGUACAUGACAUGAGCUCUCGGAUUUUCUGGUAUGUUCUCUUUGGGGACAAAAAAGGAAAGACGAAAGUAUUUGUGUGAUGUGUAAAUCCUACACGAGGUCGUGUUUUCAUUGGGAAAGCUACACUCCAAUUGAAUUUCAUUUUGGACCUGACAUCAGACAAGAGCACCCGCUGAAUUUAAG